AAAAACUUCUUCUAAUGGAAUCCAGCUUGAAAGCUACUCAAGAGCAGCUAACUGAGCAAAUAGCAGAAACAGUUCGCCAAGAACAGAACAGUAGAAAAGCCCAGGCAGAGCUGAAGACAGUGACGGAAGGGAUUAUAGCUUCUGAAGAAGAAAAAAAUGAUUACAAAUAUCGCUGGAAAUUCAGUAGGAAAAGGUCUUUGCUUGAGGGAAAAAGAAUGCAUUCUAUUGAAUAAAAACUGUUACAAAACAUCUGUGUCCCAGGCUCCCUUCCAAGGUAGGACACACGGUGGAGUGCUACUGAUGCUGCCACUUUUGUCCUACUUCUUUCCCAGGGAAUCUUUUAUUAUAUCAUCUGUUACAACUUCAUUGCAAGAGAUACACAUAUGCAAAGAAAGCUUAUAGACAAAACUGAACAAUGCAAUAUCAAGAAAAAAUAACAAGAUAUUGACAAAGAAAAGAACUGUUAGAAUUGCCACAACUACUCUGGAGAAUCAUUUGUUAACUGCUGUUUUGAAAAUGUGCAUGUUUUAUGACUUAAAAUUUAUACUUGUGGGUAUACCAUAAGGAAAUGUUAUAAAGACUAUACAAAAAAUAUAUAUGUAAAGAUUUUUAUUGAAACACUGCAACUCAACAUCUAUCAGAAGAGAAAUGAAAGAAUACAUGUUAGCAUAUCUGAACAAUGGAAUAUUAUACAGCUGUCAAAAUGAAGAAACCAGAACUGUAUAUAUCAACUUUGAUUGGUCUCACAGACAUAAUAUUGAGUUAACAAAGCAAAGUGCAGAACAUUUUAUGCAGUUUUGAAAUCAUUUUAUGUUAAUUACAGUUAUAAAUAUUAUAAUAUAUAGAUAUUGUGAUAUUUAUACGUACUAAAACGUGAAAACACGAUUAGCCUCAAACUGAAUUAUAAUUAUUGCUUGUCGGGCAUGAGACUGAAGAGAGGAACAUGGAAGAUUAUAAUAUCACCAGUAUUGAUAUAUUUGUCAAAAAAUAUAAAAUGAUCUGAUGAAAUUAUGACAGAAUGUUUUCGUUUCUUAGUUGUAUGUGUGUUAUCCUAUGUUCUUUUCUACAUAUUUUUACAUCUUUUUAAAGAGAAGAUCUGAUAGCAUGUGUGUGUGUG
rnacentral:lncRNA from 1 species